rfam:Capronia coronata CBS 617.96 acBCG-supercont1.2, whole genome shotgun sequence.
GCCUUUUAAAUGAUGAAAUAUUUCGGAUGUAAAUUCACAGACCUGUUCUGAAUGCGCAAACCCGUGUAGAUAUUUUCCGUUGCCUUCCUUCUGAUAUUAUGG